AACUGACUGGGAGCCAAAACCUAGGGUCAGGAAAGGAUUGAAAACAAGCAUGAAUUCACAGAUUCGGGAGGUAACGGAAGUCCUGGGAACCAACCUGUCUCGUCAGGCAGCUCUGUUAACCACUCCACCCUCAGCAGAGUGACCAGAUACACGGAGACCUCGACCUGGGUGUUACAAGUGGAUUACCUCUUUGUUCUGCUACUGAAUCAUUGUAAAUACUUCGGGCAAGUAAAUUAACCUGCUGAGUUUAUUAUCUCAUGAAUAUACAAGUAAAGACAGUGAACUAAACCAGGAACUCCAGAGGAGACCUAAGGUUUGAGAAAGAAGAAUGAGUAUGCAUUCAGUUCCAUGCAGACGCAACACCGUAAUUCUAAUGCAUUUGACCAUUUCAACUUCACAGUCACACAGUAAGGUGAGCUUUCUUGCCAUUUUCCAGAUAAGGAAUUCAAGAUGCAGAGGGGCUUGGAGAUCUCCUCAGGGACACACAACCAUCUGUUUCAGAAUCCACAAAUCCCAGAAUCUCUUAGGUGGUUCCUGCGUCCACCAACCUUGAGAUGUAAUGGGCCAGCAAUGGUCUUUUGCUCAGAGACAGAAUCUCACUACAUUGCCCAGGCUGGUCUCAAACUCUUGGCCUCAAGCCAUCCUCCCACCUUGGCCUCCCAAAGAGCUGGGAUUAUAGGCAUAAGGCACCCUGCUGGCUGAAAUGACAUGUAUAAAAUGAGACUGUAAAUAGUAAAAACUAAGAAUACCUAUGAAAACAAGAAUUGUUAUGAGUAUUCUGAGUGAGGCAAGCAUCUGUCACACACUGAGAUUCACCUGCCCAAGUGUCCUGGCUCUGUUGGUGGCACUUAGAGACAGCAAGACUUGCUUACCUUAAUAUUUUCAUUGUACGUGUCAGAGUAAGGCACAGCUUGAAAUCUAAUGUCUUGGUUGCUGAUGUUUGUGGUCAAAUGAUGAACGACUUUCUGCACCUCCUCCACAGCCUGGGAAAUCUGCUGGCGCCUCAAGUCCACCUGGGUGUGAGAGGGACCAGCAAUGGUGGUUAUUUCCUCUGUGGGCCCCAAGAUACCAGCAUAAGAGAGUGAGGAGACAAGGGUACAGCAAGGGGUGACUGAGGGAGUUCAGCUCAAAAAUCCUGCCUUCCCAAGAUGCCGGGGAGAUGAAUUUAGGUCUGACUCCAUUGAGAAGACACUUGGUGGUGCCUCAAUGUUCUUUUCUGUAACAGAUGCAUUCAUUUGAUAUUUAUCUAGGACCUACUAUGUAGCAGGUGCCAGGCUGGGUGCUGGGGACACAACAGUGAUUAAGACAACAGUGAACAAUGUAGAUACUUGCCCUCUAGCUGAAAAUAUAGG
rnacentral:lncRNA from 1 species